rnacentral:rRNA from 1 species
GAUGAACGCUAGCGGCAGGCCUAACACAUGCAAGUCGAGGGGUAGAGGGUUUCGGACCUUGAGACCGGCGCACGGGUGCGUAACGCGUAUGCAAUCUGCCUUGUACUGAGGGAUAGCCCAGAGAAAUUUGGAUUAACACCUCAUAGUAUUUUAGUGUGGCAUCACAUUAUUAUUAAAGGUUACGGUACAAGAUGAGCAUGCGUCCCAUUAGCUAGUUGGUAUGGUAACGGCAUACCAAGGCUAAGAUGGGUAGGGGUCCUGAGAGGGAGAUCCCCACACUGGUACUGAGACACGGACCAGACUCCUACGGGAGGCAGCAGUGAGGAAUAUUGGUCAAUGGGCGCAAGCCUGAACCAGCCAUGCCGCGUGCAGGAUGGAGCAUCUAUGGUGUGUAAACUGCUUUUGUACGGGAAGAAACACUCCCUCGUGAGGGAACUUGACGGUACCGUAAGAAUAAGGAUCGGCUAACUCCGUGCCAGCCGCCGCCGUAACAC